rnacentral:rRNA from 1 species
AGUGAACGCUGGCGGCGUGCCUAAUACAUGCAAGUCGAACGGACAAGUAAGAGCUUGCUCUUAUGAGUUAGUGGCGCACGGGUGAGUAAUGUAUAGCUAAUCUGCCCUACACUAGAGGACAACAGUUGGAAACGACUGCUAAUACUCUAUACUCCUCUCUAGCAUAAGUUAGAUAGGGAAAGUUUUUCGGUGUAGGAUGAGGCUAUAUUGUAUCAGCUAGUUGGUGAGGUAAUGGCUCACCAAGGCUAUGACGCAUAACUGGUCUGAGAGGAUGAUCAGUCACACUGGAACUGAGACACGGUCCAGACUCCUACGGGAGGCAGCAGUAGGGAAUAUUGCUCAAUGGGGGAAACCCUGAAGCAGCAACGCCGCGUGGAGGAUGACACUUUUCGGAGCGUAAACUCCUUUUGUUAGGGAAGAACAAUGACGGUACCUAACGAAUAAGCACCGGCUAACUCCGUGCCAGCAGCCGCGGUAAUACGGAGGGUGCAAGCGUUACUCGGAAUCACUGGGCGUAAAGGACGCGUAGGCGGAUUAUCAAGUCUCUUGUGAAAUCCUAUGGCUUAACCAUAGAACUGCUUGGGAAACUGAUAAUCUAGAGUGAGGGAGAGGCAGAUGGAAUUGGUGGUGUAGGGGUAAAAUCCGUAGAGAUCACCAGGAAUACCCAUUGCGAAGGCGAUCUGCUGGAACUCAACUGACGCUGAUGCGUGAAAGCGUGGGGGAGCAAACAGG